GCCCACACAAUGGCCACCAGUAGAGCCACGGGCUUGAACACGUGCUGUAUGCCGAAGGUCAGGCAGGUGACGAUGCACGCCCCGGCCCAGCUUAGCCAGCCGCCCUGUGCCCACAAUGCACAACAGCAGGACAAGGACGCCGUGGGUGUGCUGUAGGCUUUGGGGCA
rnacentral:miRNA from 1 species